rnacentral:rRNA from 1 species
UUUUUCGGUAAAGACAGUUAGGCAAAAAAGAAUCGUUAGACCUUUAGUACAGGAGUAAAAUCUAAAUACUAAGAGUUAUCUCCAACACGGUUUAUUUUAAAAGCUGAAUCUGUGACAACUUUAAGGGAAACUGGGAUUGGAUACCCCAUUAUUUUUAGUAGUAAAUUUUAUUUAAAUAUACCAGAGUACUACGAAUAAAAAGUUUAAAACUCAAAGAGCUUGGCGGUGUUUUAGACCUCUCAGGGGAACCUGUCUCAUAAUCGACAAUCCACGUUAUACCCGACCCUCUAUGGCAAUUCAGCCUGUAUACCGUCGUCGUCAGGUAACUUUUUAAAAUAUAGUAGUUAGCUUGAAAACCCUAUUAAUUAAAACGUCAGAUCAAGGUGCAGCUUAUAAGAGGGAGAGGAUGGGUUACAAUUAUAAAUUUAUAAUUACGAAAGACGCUUAAAAUAAAGCAUCAGAAGGAGGACUUGAAAGUAAUUUUAGCUACAUAAAUAAAAUGAAUAAGGCUCUGAAACGUG